rnacentral:rRNA from 1 species
GACGAACGCUAGCGGCGUGCCUAAUACAUGCAAGUCGAACGCAGUGGGGACGGGUGAGUAACACGUGGGUAACCUCCCAUCAGAGGGGAUAACACUUGGAAACAGGUGCUAAACCGAUACAGAUGGAUGGACCCGCGGUGCAUUAGCUAGUUGGUGGGGUAAAGGCGCACCAGUGCCACGAUGCAUAGUCGACCUGAGAGGUGGAUCGGCCACACUGUGACUGAGACACGGCCCAGACUCCUACGGGAGGCAUCAGUAGGGAAUAUUCGGCAAUGGACGAAAGUCUGAGCGAGCAACGCCGCGUGAGUGAAGAAGGUUUUCGGAUCGUAAAACUCUGUUGUUAGAGAAGCGGUAUCUAACCAGAAAGCCACGGCUAACUACGUGCCAGCAGCCGCGGUAAUAC